GUCAAAAAGUCAUCCAGAAUCCGACGGCAACUGAAAAAAUCAUAACUGCUCAGUUCCGGUGAUGCCAACCGCCUACCCGCCCACCAAAUUUUUGUCCCGGAAAAUCUCGAUCGCACCUCCAUCGUUUCAUUUAUUUAGGUUUCUACGCAUACGCCUAAAUGCGUAAUUUACAAUAAUGGGUUUACCGAAUUUUUUCGAAAUUGUAUUUAUAGUCGAUAGUUUUAAACACGUUUAGAAACCGUGAACUUGACGCGCUCGAAGAUUGGGUUUGUC